UACGUAGGGUGCGAGCGUUAAUCGGAAUUACUGGGCGUAAAGAGUGCGUAGGCGGUUCGUUAUGUCUGCUGUGAAAGCCCCGGGCUUAACCCGGGAAUGGCAGUGGAAACUGGCGGGCUUGAGUGUGGCAGAGGGGGGUGGAAUUCCGCGUGUAGCGGUGAAAUGCGUAGAGAUGUGGAGGAACACCGAUGGCGAAGGCAGCCUUCUGGGCCAACACUGACGCUCAUGCACGAAAGCGUGGGGAGCAAACAGG
rnacentral:rRNA from 1 species